UCCCAGCAGGACCUGCCAUGGGUUGGGGGUGGGGAGCUCUGCACAAAUCCCUCCUCUUUCUCAGCUGUGGCUGCCCUGUCUGCAGACCCCUCCAGAAAAGUAGCUGUUUGGGCCAGCUUUCUUCCCACCCUCAGCUCUGAGCUCACCCUUCCUCUCCAUCCUCCACAACUGCAGCCCCCCUGGAGCCUCAUGGUUGCCCCAGCACCUCCAUGGGAGAUGGCUGAAGGACAACUCAUUAGUCAGAGUCAAGAUCUUUGGAAAGGAAUCAGAGGCUGGAGAGGAGGAGGAACCAGAAGCUCCAAGUGGCAGAAUGACUUGCCCAAGGUUAGACAGCCAGCCUGACAUGCACUAGAGAUUGCUUUCCUGUCCCCAGGCACCUCCUCCAAGCAGCCACCUGGGACCUACAGGCUGAAAACGGGAUAACUUGACCCAUGAAAAGCUACGGCAGCCACCCUAGCCUUUUCCCUGUUUCUCUGUCAAGCCUGAGUUUUCACCACUGGAGUCUCUGCCUUGGGCUAAGGGCUUAACAUGUCACCUCUUCCAAGAGGCCUUCCCUGGCCACCCUGAAGUCUAAAGUACUUCCCAGCACCACACAAUGGCUCCGGCCUUGGGUUUCUGCUGCCAGUUAAAGAAACCUCUGCUGGCAAGCAACAGAAUAAGCCAACAGGUACUCCCAUUACUCCCUCUGGAGCUACUCCUCAGCUUCCCAGGCUCUCAUAGUGUGCAAAAAGACAGAAGCCAUCCUGUACCCCACUUUAUCAAAGAGGAGUCUGAGAAGCGGAGUGACUUAGCCAAGAUCACACAGCAAGUGUGUGGAGGCCUUUUGAUCUGAAGCUUCUGAUCUUUGCCCCGUCAUUGAGGAGACCCCAGUCCAGGGAGAGGACAUGGGGUGGCACACUGAGCCUCCACCCAGCCUGGAAGACCCCAGCUGCCUGCUGUGCCUGUAUUCACAGCCCCCUCUCCUGACCGAAGGGGUCUGCUCCAGCUGCCACGGGCUCCUGGGAAAUUAAACCUCUCAUCCCCGACGUCCUGGGUCCAACAGGCUGCCUCUGUUCCCUCUCUUCAAUCCGCUCAAAGAAAUGAGAAAACUGAAUGAAGUGUCCCUGGGGAUCUGAAACUGUACUGCCAGCCGGCAGAAAGGCAGGAGGCUGUCAUGGUGCCCACUGGGUGCUGAGGACAAUGCCCCAGCAGCAUCUAAAAUACCCAAAGAUAAAAGUCAGGGUGACAGCCACUCAAUGUCUGAGUUACUAUGGGAGAAGCCUGACUUUCCAUCUAUCCACCCAACCAAUAUUUACCAAGUGCCUACUGUGUGCACCUACUGUGUGCAUCAGAGUAGAGCGAGUGAGGGGAGAGCCCAAGUGGCCUAUGCAUGCAGGCUCUAGGCAGAAUGUCCCCAUCAAAUCUGCCUCCUCCCUGCAGGAGCCUUCUGUUUCCUCUUCUCUAAGACAGGAGUGCUGGAAACUAUGAUGCUCUCCAAGGGCUACUGAAGGAUCAAAGGCUUAUGAAGGUGGUUGCAUCGUGCCUGGCACAUAGUACAUGCUCAGUUAGUGCCAGGUGUUUUAUUGUCGUCGUUGGUCUAUGCCAGGUGCUGGGUUAGAGCACUGAACAAGACAGAUGUAGACUCUGAGCUCA